AUUGAACGCUGGCGGCAGGCCUAACACAUGCAAGUCGAGCGGAGCGGCGGACGGGUGAGUGAUGCCUGGGAAUCUGCCUGGUACUGGGGGAUAACGUCCGGAAACGGGCGCUGAUACCGCAUCCUUUCAGAUGAGGCUAGGUCGGAUUAGCUAGUUGGGGGGGUAGAGGCGUAGCAAGGCGACGAUCCGUAACUGGGCUGAGAGGAUGAUCAGGCACACCGGAACUGAUACACGGUCGAGACUCCUCCGGGACGCACCAGUGGGGAAGAUUGGACAAUGGGCGAAAGCCUGAUCCAGCCAUGCCGCGUGUGUGAAGAAGGUCAUCGGAUUGUAAAGCUCUUUAAGUUGGGAGGCGGUACCAGCAGAAUAAGCACCGGCUAACUACGUGCCAGCAGCCGCGGUAAUAC
rnacentral:rRNA from 1 species